GCCGCCCGCGACACUGCGAGAAGUCCAUUGAACCUUAUCAUUUAGAGGAAGGAGAAGUCGUAACAAGGUUUCCGUAGGUGAACCUGCGGAAGGAUCAUUG
rnacentral:rRNA from 4 species